rnacentral:lncRNA from 1 species
CUUCCACUAGCCAAGAGGGCUGCAGAUUGCUUUGGGAGGAGCAGCAUGGAGCUGUCAGGUGCUAGUGAAGCUAAGAGAUCAGACUGACCUUGGUUAAGUGCAGAGAGGAGGCGGACACUUCACAUACCAUUGGAAACACGUGGACAGUCGUUUUGGAACACAGCCCAGUGUAAAUGGAAACUCUGCUCUUCUGGACUGCUUAGCUGUGCGGCUGCUCCUGUUUGGCUGACACUGUGAGCGUCACAAAGGGAUGCUUAGUAAGGAAGGGGAACUGCAUCCUGGAG